rnacentral:rRNA from 1 species
GCGAACGCCGGGCAAGAGGCUGGGGUAAAUAGCGGGGGGGUAGCGUGAACCGGAAUUAUUGGGCGGAAAGCGUCCGUAGGUGGCUAGUCAAGUCUGCGGUCAAAGACUGGGGCUGAACCCUGGAAAGGCCGUGGAAACUGACGAGCUAGAGUGCAGUAGGGGUAGAGGGAAUUCCCGGUGUAGCGGUGAAAUGCGUAGAGCUCGGGAAGAACAUCGGUGGCGAAAGCGCUCUACUGGACUGCAACUGACACUCAGGGACGAAAGCUAGGGGAGCGAAUGGGAUUAGAUACCCCUGUAGUC